rnacentral:rRNA from 1 species
AUGGAACUGCCUCCCGCUUAUUUAGGUUAUAAUGCUAUGGUUCGCCAUCAGCUUAUUGAGAGGAAUGAACAGCCUCUCCAGUACCGACUAAUGUUUGACAAGCGCCGCAUUGUCCAUGUUGCUCUCCCUGCUCCUACUUUCUUUGACUUUCAGGCAAAAGGGAGAUAUAUUAUAACCAGGGAGGAGGCGAAUGAGUAUAAGAGGAGGACGGAGGCAACUCGCCUCCAAGCUGCAGCUCAUGAGGCAAUAGCUGCUGCAUCUCAGUACGACCCCAACUACAACUUUGAUCCAUGGCAUAGACCAACUUAG